UUUCACAGCAAUAGUGACCAAGACAUGUCGC
rnacentral:piRNA from 1 species